UCAAGCUACUAAGGGCAUGUGUGUGGAUGCCUUGGCGUGAGUAGGCGAUGAAGGACGUAGCUAGCUGCGAUAAGCCUCGGGGAGCCGCCAGCAGGCUGUGAUCCGGGGAUUUCCGAAUGGGGAAACCCGACCUGUGCGAACACAGGUUAUCCCAUCAUGAAUCAAUAGUGGUGGGAGGCGAACCUGGGGAAGUGAACCAUCUCAGUACCCAGUGGAAGAGAAAACAACAGUGAUUCCGUAAGUAGCGGCGAGCGAACGCGGAACAGCCUAAACCGGGCGAUUCGAAAGGAGAGUCCGGGGUUGCAGGACCACAAUGUGGGAAGCCUAGGGUUAGUUGAACGGUCUGGAAAGUCCGGCCAUAGCGGGUGACAGCCCCGUAUGCGAAAAUCCGAAGCUCUCUAGUGGGAUCCUAAGUACCGCGGGACACGUGGAACCCUGCGGGAAUCUGCCGGGACCAUCCGGCAAGGCUAAAUACUCACUCACGACCGAUAGUGAACUAGUACCGCGAGGGAAAGGUGAAAAGAACCCCUGCGAGGGGAGUGAAACAGUACCUGAAACCACAUGCCUACAAGCAGUCGGAGGGCUAUGCUCCGCAAGGAGAAUGCCUGACGUCGUGCCUAUUGAAUAAUGAGCUGGCUAGUCAUUCUCAGUGGCGAGGUUAAGCGAAAGCGAGCCGCAGCGAAAGCGAGUCUGAAUAGGGCGUCGAGUCGCUGGGAAUGGACGCGAAGCGGGAUGAUCUACCCUUGGCCAGGAUGAAGGUCGUGUAACAGCGACUGGAGGUCCGAACCAGUGUUGGUUGAAAACAGCUUGGAUGAGCUGAGGGUAGGGGUGAAAGGCUAAUCAAAUUCCGUGAUAGCUCGUUCUCUCCGAAAUAGCUUUAGGGCUAGCCUCGCGUGGUCCGCCGCGGCGGUAGAGCACUGAAUGAACUAGGGGCCUUUCCAGGUUACCGAAUUCAAUCAAACUCCGAAUGCCGUGGACGAAAGCGCGGGAGUCAGACAGCGGGGUCUAAGCUUCGUUGUCGAGAGGGAAACAGCCCAGACCAUCAACUAAGGUCCCCAAAUCUGCGCUAAGUGGGAAAGGAAGUCGAGAGGCUCAGACAGCCAGGAGGUUGGCUUAGAAGCAGCCAUCCUUUAAAGAAAGCGUAAUAGCUCACUGGUCGAGCCGCUCGGUGCCGACAAUCCAACGGGGCUCAAGCGUAGUACCGAAGUUGCGGAUUCGUGCAAACGAAUGGUAGGAGAGCAUUCCUAGUCGGGCGAAGGUCUACCGUAAGGAGGGCUGGACGGCUAGGAAGUGACUCUGCCAGCAUAAGUAGCGAUAAACCAGGUGAGAACCCUGGUCGCCGUAAGUCUAAGGAUUCCUGAGAAAGGUUAAUCCGCUCAGGGUUAGUCGGGUCCUAAGGUGAGGCCGAAAGGCGUAGCUGAUGGACACACGGUUAAUAUUCCGUGACUACCUUAAUCCGAUAAAGACCGAUGGGGGGACGCGGACUUGAUGCCGUGGUGGGCAAUGGUUUCCCACCAGGGUUGAGAGGAGGCCGGGAUAGGCAAAUCCGCCCGGUCGUCCGCCAGGAAAAACCUCUAAGGAGGGUUGAGGUACCCGUACCACAAACCGACACAGGUGGACGAGAUGAAUAUUCUAAGGCGCUCGGGUGAUGGGUUGUUCAGGAACUAGGCAAAUUAGCACCGUAACUUCGGGAGAAGGUGUGCUCCAGCGAUGGAGCCGCAGCGAAUAGUCUCAGGCGACUGUUUAACAAAAACACAGGUCUCUGCAAAGUCGAAAACGACGUAUAGGGGCUGACGCCUGCCCGGUGCCGGAAGGUUAAAGGGAGAGGUUAGCCGCAAGGCGAAGCUUUGAACUGAAGCCCCGGUGAACGGCGGCCGUAACUAUAACGGUCCUAAGGUAGCGAAAUUCCUUGUCGGG
rnacentral:rRNA from 1 species